CUGGGGGGCAGCCUCACUCUCAGUAAAUUGCAAAAUGCUAAUGAGAAGAGGGCCUUUUCUGGGUCACCUCCUUCUCCCUCUUGGAGGCAAUGCCCAUCUGCGGUACGCCCCCUGGAGAGAUGGGAACAGAAUUAGAUAUGCUGAGUCCGAGGCAGGAAUGCCAUCGAUACGAUGGCCCUGGAUUUCCACAACAACCCCAAGAAGUAGGUCGGCCCUGCCCCUGGUUUACAGACGAGGUACAGCGGGAGAACCGCAGAGAGCACUGGAGACUUCCGUGGCCGUGGAGAGGGCUCGGACUCGCUCUGCGAACUUGAACGGGGCCUGUGGGAGGAUUCCCAGCACAGAGGGAAACAGACUUGUUAGUGGGUGGAAAGACGGACUGAUGGACAGAUGGGUGGAUGGACUCCCAGGCCGUAUCCCAGCACGAGAGAAUGGAAGCCCCCUGAGGACAGGAAGUUGUCUCUUUGGUUUACUGAUGUAUCCCCAGCCGCCUCGGGUUCACUGUAUGUGCUCACUAAAUACAACCGAAUGAACCCUGAAGAGGUACGUGCAGGGCACACAGGGAGGGUUGGAACUGCCAGCUUCUUUGGUCAUAUACCUUUCAAAUUUGACCCCACUUUCUUCCACUUCCCUGCCCCUUGUCCUGGCCACCAGCCUCUCUCCCCAGGGCCUCACCAGAGGCCCCACUGCCAGCUCUGCUUCCUCCCCUGGCCCCUGCCGUCCAGCCCCACGCAGCAGCAGUCAGGGUGGGGCUCUUGAUUCAUGGGUGGGAAUCAAGUCUGCUUUUCCCUCGCCAACCAAAGCUUCUGGUGGAUUCCCAGUGCGGCUGCAGUAGAUUCCAGUCCUGGACUUCAUUCCCAUGCUCCCCUCCAGCUGCACCUCCAGGCGAGCUGGCCUCUCUGGGCCCUCUCCUGCCAUUCCGGCACCCCCCCCCCCCCCCCGGGUCCUUUCAGGUCUGGCUCCUUCCCGCCAGUUGGAUUCAGAGCAGGAGAGUCUCCCGGGGCUUUGGACCUCUCUCCUCCGUGUCAGUCUGUUUAUUUUCCUCAUGGGUGGAUGGCUAACUGCAAUCAUUUUAUUCGUUUGCUUUUUGUCGUGUCUCCCACCAGAAGGUCUCAGAUGGCCAUGCAGACAGCCUGUCCAGCACCUGGCCUCUCGGUUCCUGAACAUCUUCACGUUGGCCACCAUGUGCCACACCUGGGCCCUGAAUGCUCAAAACUGGUGCAGCGUCAACCCUUGAACAGCCACCUCCUGUGUCCACGACCUUCUAUCCUUUAAAUGACCCUUUCCGUGACUUUGUGGGAGUGAAGAGCUGUGUGGCUCUUCCGGGCCACCUCUGCAGCAGGUUUGGUGACGCUCCUUGCAGGUGGCUGAGGGGCUGGGGCUCUGCAUGGUGGCCCUGGCUCCUCCUCCAUCUGCCGUUCCUCAGCCGCCUCCUCUCCUUUUACUAACUCAGCCUGAGGUCCUGGAGGGCGUCACCGGGCCCCCUGCUGCCCCCUGCACCUUUCUCCCCUCUGCCCCUCGCCUGCUGGAAGGGCCCGGCCCUGGGUCAAUCCUCCCGGGUUCUUCUCCCCACUUCCCCUGGGGACUCUGCAGCCUGAACAGCGCCCUGCAGGUGUGUGGUCCUGGGUCUCAGUGGGGUCACAGGAGAGGGCACCAGGCUCUGGUCCAUGCCCAGGUCCGAUUCCUGGUCCCCGCUGUGCUCUGUGGGUGCUGCCCUGAGCCUGCGCUGAGGUCCCUGCUUUCUGGUCCUCCACCGACACUCUGUCACUCUCUGCUCCUCUACUUGCCUAUGCCUGAAGCCUUGGCUCAGGCCUCACCUCCAGCAACGGGGCCACCUCCCUGGUCCCUCCAACUCCCUGUCUGAGCCUGUCUGGGGACUGGGUGUCUGUUGCUGAUUGACAUCUCCGCCCCCAAAACACCUCCCUGGAUAUUCUUUGCACACACAAUGGACCCACAUCCAUGUGUGCUCUCUCUCUCUCUCUUACACACACACACACACACACACACACACACACAUACACACAGGUAUAGGAAAUGUCAAUGGGAACAGUCGUGGGGCACAUGGGUCACUCCCCUCCCAUGUGAUGAGCAGGAGGAAGAGUGGAGGCAGAGGCCGGCAGCUCGGGGACUGGGGGUCCUCUGCCCUGUGGGACAAAGAAUCCUGUCCUGGCACAGGGACUGGGAAGCAGGGAGCAGCCCAGCAGGACCCGCGGGGGCUGGGGAACCAGCCUGAUGGAGGAUGCUGUUGGUGGCAGGACCCGGGCCGCUUCAGGAGGGUAGGGGAUGAGGAUGGAGCUUGUCCAGGAUCCAGGCCUGCGGGGGCAAGGGGCGUGGUCAGCAGGGGGCCGAGGCCCGGCAGAGUGGGCGCACCUUGCGUGCUGACAGGAAACCUGGGGCAGGGCUGGGCGGCAGGCCGGAGAGCAGGUGCUCCUGGUCAUUGACCUUUACAUGGUGACCUUGGUAGGAUCCGCCCUAAGCAGGCAAGUGGGGUGACAGUGCAGGGAUCUGUGACGGAGCCCAGGUGGCUGGUGGCAGAGGUUGAGCCCUCCCUGUCCUGCUCAGGCAGUAAGUGUGUGCACCCAGCCACACACGUGCACCCAGGGGCACGUGUGCACACCAGACCACAGCGACUCCCGCCUGCCCGAUAGGAGGUCCUCCAGCUCAGACUCGCCGCCCGCCUCUGGGUCCCCUGGACCGUCAAGUGGAAUUAAUUCAUAGAAGCAGAAGAGGCACCAGGCGUGGGAAGGACAGGAGCCGCUAAGCAACCCACCAUCUGGGCCAGGCCCCAUGGAGACUCCCGAGCCCAAUUAGCAGUUUUAUUAAAGACCGUUGGAUUAGCGGCGUCUGCUGCGAGGAGGACGUGGAUGUGGCUGAUCUGGGGGCAUCUCUUCGCUUCGGCCAGUGAGCUGCUCCCUGCUAGUCUUGGGCCCUUGGAGGGCUUGGCCUGCUGGACAUGCACUGCUGGCUGGCUCCUCUCACCUUGCCACAUGGGUCCUCUCCUACUGCUCACGCCAGCUCCUCCACUCCCUGGGACAGUGCCUUGCCCCUUGGUCCCUAUCCAAGAAAGGGUGAUCUUAAAAAUAGUUCUAUGGCUGAAGUCGGAAGAGAGGAGCUGAAAAACAGCGAGGCUGGAUCCUCCCUCUCCCUACUGAUAACCUCUUUCCCACCCACUGUCCUAAUGGGUCUCAGGGCAAAAGAGGAGACCUCACAUCCUCCUGCUUCCUAUGGGGAAAGGUGCUGGGCACAUUCCCACGGCCACCUCCCCUUACUAUUUCCAGCCUCUGGGCUUUGACACAUGCUAUUCCCUCCUGCUUAGAUUGCUGUUCCUCAGUUCUUGGUCUGGCUGGUGAUUUCUCAUCCUCCAAGUCUAUGAAGUGCCCUGAAUGAAAGACACUGUUCCUUCCUUCCCAUGGAGAGAGUCUCUUAGUGACGGCAGGGUCCUGGGUGACCUCAUAGGCACAACCUCCUCUGCACACAGAAAGCACCAGAGGUCCUCCCCUGCCCCAGGAGUGGGUCAGCCUCUGUGCCUGCAAAGCAUUCGCCAGCCUGAGGUCCCAGGCACGGGAGGGGUGGUCACAGGCACUGCGUCCUCUGGCCCCCAGCCUGGACGGGGGACAGGAGGCUCUCCACGGCCAGCAGCAGUCUAUUCCCACCUGCUGCAGAUAUUAAUUUGGGGGUUUAUAGAAAAAUCCAUACAGUGUGAGUUAUCCAGGGCGGCGGUCACAGGGAGAAGCACAAAAUCGAUAGUGAGAGAUGGUCCUGUUUCAUGGCUUCUGUAAACCGGCCGGCUGGGCCACAGGGGUUGGCGCGGGCAGGCGCAGGUCAGUGGGCUGCUGGCCCUGCGGCGGCGCGGGGGCCUCGGCCAGUCCCGGGGGCGGCUCGUUCCAGCACCCGUGGGGUUGAUUUGUGCCCUCCAAGGGCUCCGUAAAUAUUUAUUAACACUUCUCCGCAGGCGAGAGCGCUUCUCAGCUGUGGCCGAGGUGAUGCUCACCAGGUCACGCCGGGCCGCUGGCCUGCCAUGGAAAACAGGGAGGGGUCCCAGCCUGGCUGGGGCAGCCGCAGCUUCGUCAUGGAGGAGUGGCCUGAGGUUUUGCAAAGCACGAGGCCGGGCCGUGCCUCGGCAGAGGGGAUUCCACGGUGCCGCGCUGUCCCUCCCUCUCAGCUGGGGCGCCUGACUUCAUCCACAGGCGCAUGGCCACGCUCAGGCCUCGUCCUGGCCAGGAUCAGAAGCACUGGAGCAGUGGUGUCCCGAGAGAAAUCUGAUGGGACCUGGAAAGGCAACUCAUAUGUGUCUCCAGGGAGAGAUGCCUUGUCCCUUCUGUCCCCCUGCUCCUCUCUGCCCCUCCCUGAGGAGUUAGGAGAGACACAGAGGGUGACUUCAGGAGACUGAGCUUGCUCGGUUUGGCCCUUUUCCCUCUCACCUGAGUCUGAACAUGGAAAGAAAAGAAGCUAUUGUGUCUCCUUCCUUCCCACUCUGGGGCUGUGGGAAAGCUAUGGCCCAGCCCAGUGUUGGGCGGGAGGUGGAGCCUCCUUUCAGACGGCCUUCUGGAAGGAGGAUGGCCUGGGGAGUCAAGGAUGCUGGAGGAAGAACAGCCAGGAGGCUGUGGCUGGUGUACCCUGGCAGCCAUCACGAAUGGGUUACAGCUGGUCUGGGAUGUCUCUGUCACUGCUGAGCUGGGUCCAGCGCCUCCGGGGCUGGCAGGCAGCGUGGCUGUCCGGCCUGGCCCAGCAGCUGUCCACCAGACACAGCAGUUCUGGGGGCUGGAAGUUCAAGUUCAAGGAACUGGCAUUGUUGUCUGGAGAGAACUGUACUCUGCUUCCAAGAUGGCAGCUUCUUCUUGAACCGCCUCGUGGUGGAAGGCAGAAGGACUAGGGAGGCCAGAUGCUGGGGAGGCCCCUUUAGAGGGUGCAUCUCACGGUGCUGAGCAUGCCACAUGACCUUUCCCCAGCGGGCAUCUCGUGAGUCAAAUGGACAGAGUUACCCAGAUAUCCAGGCCAAGGAUCCAUACAGAAGCUCUGGACAUGUGCUGUCUUCCUGUUGCCCACCCUUUCCCUCUUUGUCCACCUAGUAUCCUCUGCAAGCCCACCCCACCACCCACCUCCAGGGCACAGAAUCCGUUCCGUGGACAGCGUUCGGCUCCCACCUCGGUGUGUUGGGCUGACUUCACGCCAACACGACUUAGCAUUUUGACACCGCCAGAUCGAGCCUCUUUAUUCCGUCUCAGAAUUGUGGGUUUUUCUCAUAAAGUGUUUACUGGGUAUGUAAAAUAUAAUCACGGCUUUAUGAAUAUGAACUAGAUUAUUUUAAUGAUUGCAGGUAAUUUAAAACUUAAGGGCAAUCACAUUUCCCAGCCAUCUCACGGUGCUUUAGGAGCACGAGUGAGCGCUUCUCAACGGCCCUGGUCUCGCACGCCUGCCCCUCCGCAGCGGCCCCGUGUUACAGCGAUCUGAUUAUUGUAAUUGAUGACAUUAGGAAUAAAGAAUCCUCGCAGAAUAAUACAGGA